rnacentral:rRNA from 1 species
UGCAGUCGAACGAUGAAAGCUGGAGCUUGCUCUAGCUGGAUUAGUGGCGAACGGGUGAGUAACACGUGAGCAAUCUGCCCUGGACUCUGGGAUAACCCCGAGAAAUCGGAGCUAAUACCGGAUACGACACCUCCCGGCAUCGGGUGGGUGUGGAAAGAAUUUCGGUCCAGGAUGAGCUCGCGGCCUAUCAGCUUGUUGGUGAGGUAACGGCUCACCAAGGCGACGACGGGUAGCCGGCCUGAGAGGGUGACCGGCCACACUGGGACUGAGACACGGCCCAGACUCCUACGGGAGGCAGCAGUGGGGAAUAUUGCACAAUGGGCGCAAGCCUGAUGCAGCAACGCCGCGUGGGGGACGAAGGCCUUCGGGUUGUAAACCUCUUUUAGUAGGGAAGAAGCGCAAGUGACGGUACCUACAGAAAAAGCACCGGCUAACUACGUGCCAGCAGCCGCGGUAAUACGUAGGGUGCAAGCGUUGUCCGGAAUUAUUGGGCGUAAAGAGCUCGUAGGCGGUUUGUCGCGUCUGCUGUGAAAAUCCGAGGCUCAACCUCGGACCUGCAGUGGGUACGGGCAAACUAGAGUGCGGUAGGGGGAGAUUGGAAUUCCUGGUGUAGCGGUGGAAUGCGCAGAUAUCAGGAGGAACACCAAUGGCGAAGGCAGAUCUCUGGGCCGUAACUGACGCUGAGGAGCGAAAGCGUGGGGAGCGAACAGGAUUAGAUACCCUG